GACGAACGCUGACGGCGUGCUUAACACAUGCAAGUCGAAGGGAGUGGCGAACGGGUGAGUAACACGUGAGUAACCUGCCCUUUUCUUUGGGAUAAGCCUGGGAAACUGGGUCUAAUACUGGAUGGUUUGGGAUGGGCUCGCGGCUUAUCAGCUUGUUGGUGGGGUGAUGGCUUACCAAGGCUUUGACGGGUAGCCGGCCUGGGAGGGUUGUCGGUCACAGUGGGGCUAAGAUACGGCCCAGAAUACUACGGGAGGAAGCAGUCGGAGAUAUUGCACAAUGGAAGAAAGUCUGAUGCAGCGACGUCGUGUGGGGGAUGGUGGCCUUCGGAUUGGAAACUCCUUUCGCCCGCGGAAUGGAAGUGGAUAAAGAAGCGGCGGCUAACUACGUGCCAGCAGCCGCGGUAAUUC
rnacentral:rRNA from 1 species